rnacentral:rRNA from 1 species
AAGUUCGAAUGGGGAGAUUCAUCGUCAACGGGGCAGGCCUCGCGGUGACUCGUGAUGUCCCUGGUGCUUAACCGCAUCCCCACGGGCACGCGGUCGUCGCGCUGCCACCGGUCGCGUCGGCGUGCACUUCUCCCCUAGUAGAACGUCGCGACCCGUUGGGUGCCGGUCUUUCGGCCUGGGUGGACGACUGCCGCAUCGUCCAAGGCGCGUGCGGCAGACCCCCGUGUGCCUAGAGUUACCCGGCUGCCCGGCGGUACGCUCAUGGUAUCGGGCCGCAAAAAGCUCGAACUGCGUCGGGACCUUCUCGCCCGCCUCCUCGGAUCUCGGUGGUACCGUCCCAACGGUGCGUCUCCGAAUAUCCGGCUGGCGUUUAACCAGGCGAGAGGUGACCUCCGACUGGCCACUUGAAAAACACACGAUACCGGUCGGCGACGCUACUGCUUUGGGUAAUCUCAGGACCCGUCUUGAAACACGGACCAAGGAGUCUAACAUGUGCGCGAGUCAUUGGGACGUUGCAUGCCUAAAGGCGAAAUGAAAGUGAAGGUCGAUGCUGCCGCCGACCGAGGGAGGAUGGGCCUCGUUACGAUGAGGCUCCGCACUCCCGGGGCGUCUCGUUCUCAUCCGAGGAGAGGCGCACCCAGAGCGUACACGUUGGGACCCGAAAGAUGGUGAACUAUGCCUGGUCAGGACGAAGUCAGGGGAAACCCUGAUGGAGGUCCGUAGCGAUUCUGACGUGCAAAUCGAUCGUCGGAA